ensembl:lincRNA
UCUAAGUCUAUCUCAGAGAGAGAAACAUUCACUGAAAUUUUAUAAACCCAAUGUCCUCAAGUUUUCUCUCAACUUUAUCUCCCUCUGAUUCCAUGCUGGAUCCAGAGAAGAAUCCAGAAUUCCAUGCUGGAUCCAGAGAAGAAUCAGGAAGCGUUGACGUCAGGAGGAAAGGAGACUGGAGAAGAGCAGCUUCAGCACCCUCAAGUAACUUGAGAAAAUGUUCCAAAACAGAGGCAAAAAGUGGCACUGGAGAAACAAGAAAAACUACCCCAAAACAGGAUAUUUACUUGAGAAUUCAAGUAGUCCCACCACAAAAUAGCCAAAGUGGUCCUAAAUACCAGCAUAAAAGAGAUUUAAGUAGCCCUGAGAAAAACUAUGAAAAGGGACAAAUACAGAAGCCUGGAGUGAAAGUUGAAAAGCUUCCUGAGAAAACUCUGAGUAAAGAAGGGAAGAGAGUAAAAGAUGACAAAAGAAAAGGUAUCGGGGAGGUUAUGGACAAGGAAAAUAAAAUAGAAAAGGGCCAAUCAAAGAAAGGAGAUAGUAUAAAAGAUGAAGGUAAAACUGGGGAACGAAGGGUGAAUGUGAAAAAGAAGGGAGAUGAGGACACAGAUAAUAAAGACAAGAAGGGAGGUGAAGACAGGGAGGACCAGGACAAGAAAGAAGAGGAAGAUAGCAACAAGAACAAAGACAAGAAGGAAGAAGAGGAUAAGACAAAGAACAAGGACAUGAAAGGAGAUGAAGAUAAGAUAAAAGUCAAGGAUAUAAAGGAAGAUGAGGAGAAGACCGAGGACAAGGGCAUGAAGGGAGAUGAGAAGACGGAGGACAGGGACAUGCAGGGAGAGGAGGAGAAGACAGAGGACAAGGGCAUGAAGGGGGAUAAGGACAAAACAGAGGACAAGGACAUGAAGGGAGAUGAGGAAAAGACAGAGGACAAGAGCAUGAAGGGAGAUGAGGAGAAGACAGAGGACAAGAGCAUGAAGGGAGAUCAGAAGACAGAGGACAAGGGCAUGGAGGGAGAUGAGAAGACAGAGGACAAGGGCAUGAAGGGAGAUGAGGAGAAGACAGAGGACAAGGGCAUGGAGGGAGAUGAGGAGACAGAGGACAGGAGCAUGAAGGGAGAUGAGGAGAAGACAGAGGACAGGGACAUGAAGGGAGAUAAGGACAAAACAGAGGACAAGGACAUGAAGGGAGAUGAGGAAAAGACAGAGGACAAGAGCAUGAAGGGAGAUGAGGAGACAGAGGACAAGGGCAUGAAGGGAGAUGAGGAAAAGACAGAGGACAAGAGCAUGAAGGGAGAUGAGGAGACAGAGGACAAGGGCAUGAAGGGAGAUGAGGAAAAGACAGAGGACAGGGACAUGAAGGGAGAUGAGGAGAAGACAGAGGACAGGGGCAUGAAGGGGGAUAAGGACAAAACAGAGGACAAGGACAUGAAGGGAGAUGAGGAAAAGACAGAGAACAAGAGCAUGAAGGGAGAUGAGGAGAAGACAAAGGACAAGAGCAUGAAGGGAGAUGAGAAGACAGAGGACAGGGGCAUGAAGGGAGAUGAGGAGAAGACAGAGGACAGGGGCAUGAAGGGGGAUGAGGAGAAGACAGAGGACAGGGGCAUGAAGGGGGAUGAGGAAAAGACAGAGGACAAGGACAUGAAGGAGGACAAGGAAAAGACAGAGGACAGGGGCAUGAAGGGGGAUGAGGAGAAGACAGAGGACAAGGGCAUGAAGGGGGACGAGGAAAAGACAGAGAACAGGGACAUGAAGGGGGAUGAGGAGAAGACAGAGGACAAUGGCAUGAAGGGGGAUGAGGACAAGAUAAAAGACAAGAACAUAAAGAGAGAUGAAGACAAAAAGAGCAAGACUAUCAAAGGAGAUUCCAUGAAAAAAGGAGAUAAAAUAAAAAUAAAAGGACAAGGAUAUAAACCAAAGAAAAAGUUCCAGGCAGAAAAAGGACAGUAAAAAGUCACACUGAAGAAAAACAGCACCAGAUUUUAUAAACUAACAAACGGAAUUGAGUAAUUUCACUCCAACACUAUCAACUUCAAAACUAGCUUCCAGUCUUUUACAGUAUCAAUUAAAAUGAUAGAUUCCUCACAUUUCUUUAACCACAAAAUUUCUGCUUCUUUGCUUGCAACCUGGCAAAAGAGCCUUCAUAAAUUUCAUCUCUUUAGAUCUCUCAAUUUCAAACUUCAGCUUCCAAAUAUAAAUUUUUCAAAAUGUAAAUCCAUUAUGUAUAAUUGUCAACAAAACAUAGUUUUUCUGAAAUAAAACCCUGAUGAAGAAA